rnacentral:lncRNA from 1 species
CGGGAGCGCAGGCAGGAGGACGCAGAUCCAGCCCCGGGAGAGGGCGCGGGAGGCUGCACGGCACCCUCACGCCAGGCUCUGGGUGCCCUUGGGCUGGGGUGGAGCCGGAGGCCUGAACCUCGGGGCGGCGGGUUGGCGGGGGUCAGACGCCUGUGCUAUGGGCACCUGGCGCAGGGGCCUGCGAGCUCCAGUCACUUUGCCUUUUCCGGCCUAGCGCCACCCACGGGUCAUGUGACAGCCCCGACCCUUGGAGCUUUGCGGCUGCCUGGGUGGCCUUGGGAACGCGGCUGGUGCCCCCAAAUCUACGGAGGAGCGCGGUGGCCCCGUGGUGGACUGUGGGGACCGGUGGUGCCCAUCGGUGGCUCUGAGUCUUUGGCCCGCCUUCCCAGCAGGGAUUCCUUCCACAGUCGACCUCACGGGGGUGGGGAUGAGUGUCCUGUGGCGUCACAUGAUGAGUCCCCUGGGUCAUUUGCUGCUCAGGGUCCUUUACCGCCGCCCGUCCCCGCCCCACCCCUGCCAUCUCCAGCGACUCCCGCCGGCAGCGCCACCUGGCGGACAGUCGUCAGGGCACUAGUGGGGCAGGUCGGGCAAGUGACCUUGCUGGAAUGGGCUCGUGGUCAGGGGUGAAGAAACAUCCUCAGAGGAAAAGGCUUUGGGGAAAGGUGAGCUCCUUCUGAGGAUCGGGGCUUGGGGCAUUUGGAGGGGGCUCAGAGUACUACUUCUCCAAAAAUAGGCCCCCAGUGUGUGUGUUUCAGGUGGCGCUUCGUGAAUUCCUUCAGUGGCGAACAUAUUCGAUGAGAAAUUCACGUGUAAUAGCUAAGAACAGGUAAAUUAGGCAAAGCUUCCUAAGUGAUCCCGUCAUCCUUUCAAAAGAAUUUUUUUUUUUUUUUGGUAAUUUGAAAUCAGUAUAUGGUCAUUAAAACUAGAAAUAACAAGGGGGUCGAUUCUGCACGUGGACAAAGUAAGGGUUGUUUUGAUAAGUGACACUAACGUGGAAGAUGUGUUUUUGAUAAGGGGAAAAGAGAGAGAUUUUGGUCCCAAAGCAGAAUGAUGGCUUGUUCCAACAGGAGAGGCUGGAGUGCACGGGACACCCCCACCAAGGGGUGAGACAAGGUA